GUUAACGCUGGCGGUAUGUAUAAUACAUGCAAGUCGUGCGCCCAGCACCCAGUUAUCAAUGUAAAAAUUGAUGGUUGAGUGCUGGGAGCGGCGAACGGGUGAGUAAUACGUUGGAAUCCGCCCCGAACUCAGGGAUACCACUUAGAAAUAGGUGUUAAUACCGGAUGGUCCCGCAAGGGUAAAGCUUUUGCGGUUCGGGAGGAGCCUGCGGCCUAUCAGCUUGUUGGUAAGGUAACGGCUUACCAAGGCUAUGACGGGUAGCUGGUCUGAGAGGACGACCAGUCACAAUGGGACUGAGACACGGCCCAUACUCCUACGGGAGGCAGCAGUAAAGAAUCUUCCACAAUGGGCGAAAGCCUGAUGGAGCAAUACCGCGUGAACGAUGAAGGUCGAAAGGUUGUAAAGUUCUUUUCUGAGGGAAGAAUUCUGACGGUACCUCAGGAAUAAGCACCGGCUAACUCCGU
rnacentral:rRNA from 1 species